rnacentral:rRNA from 1 species
AGAGUUUGAUCCUGGCUCAGGAUGAACGCUGGCGGCGUGCUUAACACAUGCAAGUCGAACGAACCUUCGGGUUAGUGGCGGACGGGUGAGUAACGCGUGAGAAUCUGCCCUCAGGAGGGGGAUAACGGCUGGAAACGGCCGCUAAUACCCCAUAUGCCGAGAGGUGAAAUGAAUUUCGCCUGAGGAUGAGCUCGCGUCUGAUUAGCUAGUUGGUGUGGUAAAGGCUCACCAAGGCAUCGAUCAGUAGCUGGUCUGAGAGGAUGAUCAGCCACACUGGGACUGAGACACGGCCCAGACUCCUACGGGAGGCAGCAGUGGGGAAUUUUCCGCAAUGGGCGCAAGCCUGACGGAGCAACGCCGCGUGAGGGAUGAAGGCCUCUGGGCUGUAAACCUCUUUUAUCAAGGAAGAAGAUCUGACGGUACUUGAUGAAUAAACCACGGCUAAUUCCGUGCCAGCAGCCGCGGUAAUACGGGAGUGGCAAGCGUUAUCCGGAAUUAUUGGGCGUAAAGCGUCCGCAGGCGGUCUUGAAAGUCUGUUGUUAAAGCGUGGAGCUCAACUCCAUUUCAGCAAUGGAAACUAGAAGACUAGAGUGUGGUAGGGGCAGAGGGAAUUCCCGGUGUAGCGGUGAAAUGCGUAGAUAUCGGGAAGAACACCAGUGGCGAAGGCGCUCUGCUGGGCCAUAACUGACGCUCAUGGACGAAAGCCAGGGGAGCGAAAGGGAUUAGAUACCCCUGUAGUCCUGGCCGUAAACGAUGAACACUAGGUGUCGGGGGAAUCGACCCCCUCGGUGUCGUAGCCAACGCGUUAAGUGUUCCGCCUGGGGAGUACGCACGCAAGUGUGAAACUCAAAGGAAUUGACGGGGGCCCGCACAAGCGGUGGAGUAUGUGGUUUAAUUCGAUGCAACGCGAAGAACCUUACCAGGGUUUGACAUCCUGCGAAUCCCUUGGAAACUUGGGAGUGCCUUCGGGAGCGCAGUGACAGGUGGUGCAUGGCUGUCGUCAGCUCGUGUCGUGAGAUGUUGGGUUAAGUCCCGCAACGAGCGCAACCCACGUCUUUAGUUGCCAGCAUUAAGUUGGGCACUCUAGAGAGACUGCCGGUGAUAAACCGGAGGAAGGUGUGGAUGACGUCAAGUCAUCAUGCCCCUUACAUCCUGGGCUACACACGUACUACAAUGCUACGGACAAAGGGCAGCAAACUCGCGAGAGCUAGCAAAUCCCAUAAACCGUGGCUCAGUUCAGAUCGUAGGCUGCAACUCGCCUACGUGAAGGAGGAAUCGCUAGUAAUCGCACGUCAGCAUACUGCGGUGAAUACGUUCCCGGGCCUUGUACACACCGCCCGUCACACCAUGUAAGUUGGCCACGCCCGAAGUCGUUACUCCAACCCGCAAGGGAGGAGGAUGCCGAAGGUGGGGCUGAUGACUGGGGUGAAGUCGUAACAAGGUA